AUUGAACGCUAGCGGGAGGCCUAACACAUGCAAGUCGAACGAGUGGCGGACGGGUGAGUAAUGUCUGGGAAACUGCCUGAUGGAGGGGGAUAACUACUCGAAACAGUAGCUAAUACCGCAUACCAUCGGAUGUGCCCAUAUGGGAUUAGCUAGUUGGUGGGGUAAAGGCUCACCAAGGCGACGAUCCCUAGCUGGUUUGAGAGGAUGACCAGCCACACUGGAACUGAGACACGGCCCAGACUCCUACGGGAGGCAGCAGUGGGGAAUAUUGGACAAUGGGGGAAAGCCUGAUGCAGCCAUGCCGCGUGUAUGAAGAAGGCCUUCGGGUUGUAAAGUACUUUUAGCGGGGAGGCGGUACCCGCAGAAUAAGCACCGGCUAACUCCGUGCCAGCAGCCGCGGUAAUAC
rnacentral:rRNA from 1 species